GGCCGUGUGGCGUAAUGGCAGCGCAUCUGACUACGAUUCAGUCGUUAUCAGGAGGUUGCAGGUUCGACCCCUGUCUCGGUCA
rfam:Hirsutella minnesotensis 3608 unplaced genomic scaffold MNSD_Scf_13, whole genome shotgun sequence.